rnacentral:lncRNA from 1 species
GGGCUAGAGACUGAAAUUAAUUCGGAGACAGCUAAGGAGCUAUUUAGGAAACCUUGCUUUUUCUAAAAUCUCAAGGUUGGCACAACCACAGAAGUUGGAAGUUAGUUUGAUCUUCAGUGAGCUGUACCUCCAAUCUAGGGCUUAUUUGUGCACCGUCUAGAACUCUGGUGACUGUACACAUGUAUACUCUAGUAAUUAGGCUAAGCAAAACGCACCAAAGUAAUAAAUUUGAGUUUAAUAUGAGCCGAUGCUGUCCGAACAAGUCAUUAAAUGUUUCAGGGUUCAAUUAUUUAACACAUUAACAACAAAACUUGAAAUUCUUGAGUAAAAUUUUCACCCAGUUUCCCUUCUUGAGGUAAUGCCAUUAAAGCACUUAGCCCAGAAAACAUGUUCGCUAUUUACAUGGUUGGAUCUUCCUGCUACUAAGUCAAUUGGGAAGAUUGCAAUGUGAUAAAAAUUAGCCUGAGAAAUCUGAAAAUUUCUUAUACUUUUAUGUCCCUUAGCAUGAUCUUUUCCCAAAAGUGAGACUCAAAUGCCUACAACUGCUUCCUAUGGUCAUUUGAGUACUGUAUUUGAUUUUGUAAUAACCACCACUUGCCCUCACUGUCCACUUUAUUUUCAUGACAUACAUGAUACUGUAUAGUUACUAUACUUUGACUUACUACUUUGCUCUUGAAUGCAAGCUCCUUGAGAGCAAGAUUUUUAAGAUUAUUUUUAACCCAUUGCUUUAUUUCAAAUACCUAGGAUAGGGCCUUAUGCAUUAUAAGCAGUGUUAUGAGUAAACGAUGACAGGUUCUUAGCAUGGCUUUUGUGAUAUUAACAGAAUUACUCUGGCUACUGUGCUGAGAAAAAUGGGGCCAACAGCAGGAGCAUAAAUGAGAAGCUAUCUGCAAUAAGGCAAAGUACAGUGACUUAAAGCCAAGAUGGUUAAGUAGUAGAAGUGGUGAUCAGGUUUUGGAUAUAGUUUGAAGAUGGCUCCCAGGGGAAAUGCUAAUGGAUUCUGUGGUGUGAGAAGUCAGAAUGAGUAAAGAUUUCACCUGAACAACUAGAAAUGAAUUGCCAUUAGCUGAGAUGAAAAGGAACAGAUUUGUGGAUAGUGGAGGAGUGACCCCAUACUAUGAACAUGAAUAUCUCCAUUUUUCAAAUUUAAUGCCUUUCCCAUAAAAUCUUAUACUUAAGUGGAUUCCUAGGUAACUGACUCAUACAUGGAUAGAUCGCUCAUUCAUUGUGAAUAACACACAAGUACACAAAACACCAUAUACAACUCCAUGAACUGGCAAUUUGCUAAUACCUAAUGUAAUCAUCCAGGUGAAGAACUAGAACAUUGCCAGGAUCCAAGAACCCCUUCCAAUCAUUUCUUCGUCUCUUUUCUGCCCUCAGAGGUAAGGUAACUAUUUUUAAAUAAAACAAGGAAGGUCUAAUUGGUGGCAGCCUACUUGAGCAAACCAAAACCGUUUAGGAAGUUGAAAAACCCGUGGACAACCAAUCAUACACUGCCAACUUGGCUUUCACAGAUAAAGCAAUUGCUUCACCUAUAGCCAAGCAAAAUAAUUUCCUUGCUUUGCUUCCUGUCUGCUCUGUAAGAGCCUUUCCCCUAGCUCCUGUCAGGAGUUUAGUGCUGCCCAGAUCCAAAUCAAUAUUUGCUCAAAUUUCAAAAUUUUAGUAUAUUUAUCUUUUAAACAACACUAUCCUGACUUUAUGGUAGUCACUUACUUGAUUCCCUUCAUGGUUUUGAAACUGAUUCAUGCAUCCUAAAUGCCAUGGUUUAUUUUUUCAUCUCCUAUUUUUAACUCUUUACAUAAGUGAAAUGUAUUUUAUGAGUUCCUACACGUUUACACGUUUCUAUAACCUGUUUUUGUAUGUCACUGUAGAUACCUAUCACCAGUAUAUGGGUAUUGAGAUUGUUUUCAAUUUUAGGGUCAUACAAAUAAUUCUGUUAUAGAACAUUCAUGUCUUUUGGUGAGCAUAUGCAUGGAUAUACAGUAUAUUUAAGAGUAAUCAGUAGGUCAUGAGAUAUAUUUUUGUAUGUGCAUUUUCUAGAUGACUAAUGGGGUUAUGUUUUCCAUUAAAAAAAAAACUUUAGAUGUCCUCGAGACUGUCUCUUCUGGAUUUUAAGUGUUCUGUAUUCUGGAAAUGAGUCUGUUGAAUAUAUGCACUGUGAAUAUCUUUUACUUUAUAGUUUGGUUUCUCACUUUUUAAACGGUAUUUUUUGAUUAAGAAGAUUUCUUGGUUAUAAUGUUCAGUUUAUACAUAUUUUAUGGUUAAGACAUUAUGCAUUUUAUUUAAAAUGCCUCUCUCCAUUUCAAAGUCAAGAGGGUAGCCUCCUAUUUUAUCUUUGAGAUUUAUUAUUUUACUUUUCACAAGGAACUUGAUUAUUUUCCUAGAAUUGGCUCUUGUGUUAUAGUGUGAUUUGGGGGUUCAGUCUCAUUUUUUUUUUCUAAGUGAAUGUCAGAGUGCCCAACUUCAAUUAUUGACAAGUUUGUGCCUUCCACAUUUUUCUGCAGUACCAGCUUUCUCUUAUAUCUAGUAUCCAUAUAUUCGUGGUUCUCUUUCUAGGCUCUCCAUUCUGUUCCACUGGUCUGUCCUAAUCUUAAGUUGAUACCACUGCCUUAAUACCUUGGCUUCAUAUUAAGUCUUAAUAUGGAGUAGAACAGAUUCUCCCACCUUGCUUUACUUGAUUCUCCUGGCUAUUCUUACCUAACUUCAUUUUUUCAUAUAAAUUUCAAAGUCAGCCUUUGAAUAUCCACAAAAAAAAUUGUUGAUAUUUUUAUUUGAAUUGCUUUGAAUCUACAGAUUAAUUUGGGAAUUGACCCCACUGAGUCUUCCAAUCUAUGAAUAUGGCAUUUUGUUAGCAAUCAGGAUAAUUGUUACUGCCCAUUUUGUGUUUUAUAUAAAUGAGUUAUUUUUUUUUAAAUGAGUUCUUUUAUAUUUGUUCAAUAUUGGGUUUGUGAGGGUUAAUUUCGCGGUUUGUAACUACUUUUUUUGCUAUGUAUUACUCCCACGUGUGCAUAUUCCACAAUCUAUGUAUACAUUCUGUUGUUGAUGGACAUUUGUGUGGUUUCCACGCAGUUGGAAGCCCAUAUGAACAGAGCUACUAUCAAUAUACUUGUUCACAUGUUUUGAUGAACAUAUCUAUACAUUUCUUGCGGUAUAUAUAAUCUACCUGAUUUUAAGUUAAAAUGUAAAGUGCUGUACCUGGGCUUCUUCCUCUUCUGAUCCAACAAUUCACACUCUCAACUUUAUCAUGCACAAAAUGCUUACUUCUCCUGUGGGAUUAUUUUCUGGAUCUCAUUUAUUCUUCUUUUGUUCAUUUCUCAGAUAUAUCUGAGUUCUUUAGUAUUUGUCCCUGGAAAAAUUACUUCAUCUCCUGCCUCUCAUUUGACAAUAGUUUCCUUGUGCUCUCAUAAAUACUUUAAAUAUUUUCUUUUUACAUUUCACUCAGGCAUAUUUUGAAUGUUUUCAGUGGGAUGGUUAGCCUAGGUGACUAUCUUUCUAUAUUACUGGCAAUAAAAACCAAUAUAAUUCAACAAAUAUUUAAUAACCAUUUACUAUGUACCAGGCUAUCUCCUAGGUUUAGAGAUGCAAUAUUUAAAAAAAAGGAAAUCUCUGCCCUGAUGGAGUUACAUUCUCUACCAAUAUCUCUUAAAAUACAUUUAUCUGAUUCUGUCUUUUCUCCUUGUUUUCAGCUUAAACAUAUGUCAGAUAUAUCAAUCUUUCCUCAGUAUCUUUGAAUCUAACUUUUGUAUCUCAAUUCUGGAUAAUUUCUUCAGAUAAAUAUAAUAUUUUAUUAACUCAUGUCAUGGAAUCAUGUCCUCCUCCUCAGUGAAACAACUUAGUGUUGCAGGUCUUCAAGGCAGGUGUUGAAAUUACUGUUAUUUUAUUUUGUGUAUAUACAUAUACAGACGCAUAUAUAUGGGUACACAUGUGCAAACACACAUAAUCUGUCAUUUAAAAAUCCAAUUAGAGGCACCUGGGUUGCUCAGUCUGAGUGCCCGAGCUUGGUUUUGGCUCAGAUUAUGAUCUUAAGGUCAUAGGAUUGAGCCCAUGUUG